CUACGGAGGGUGCAAGCGUUACUCGGAAUCACUGGGCGUAAAGCGCGCGCAGGCGGCUAUGUAAGUUGGAUGUGAAAGCCUACGGCUCAACCGUAGAACUGCAUCCAAAACUAUUUAGCUAGAGUGUGGGAGAGGAAGAUGGAAUUAGUUGUGUAGGGGUAAAAUCCGUAGAGAUAACUAGGAAUACCAAAAGCGAAGGCAAUCUUCUGGAACACUACUGACGCUGAGGCGCGAAAGCGUGGGGAGCAAACGGGAUUAGAUACCCUAGUAGUCC
rnacentral:rRNA from 1 species